GAUGAAGAACGUAGCGAAAUGCGAUACGUAAUGUGAAUUGCAGAAUUCAGUGAAUCAUCUAAUCUUUGAACGCAUAUUGCGCUCUCUGGUAUUCCGGAGAGCAUGCUUGUUUGAGUAUCAGUAAACACCUCAACUUCCAUAUCUUUUUUUGAAAUGGGAGUUGGACUUGAGUGAUCCCAACGCUUUUCCUCACCGAAAAGUGGCGGGUUACUUGAAAUGCAGGUGCAGCUGGACUUUUCUCUGAGCUAUAAGCAUAUCUAUUUAGUCUGCCUAAAAAACAGAUUAUUACCUUUGCUGCAGCUAACAUAAAGGAGAUUAGUUCUUGUGCUGACUGAUGCAGGAUUCACAAAGACAGCUUCGGCCGACUUUGUAAACUCGAUCUCAAAUCAAGUAAGACUACCCGCUGAACUUAAGCAUAUCAAUAAGCGGAGGA
rnacentral:misc_RNA from 1 species